rnacentral:lncRNA from 1 species
ACCACACCACAUAUCAUAAGUAGGUAACACACUGGUUUUUGUCUGAGAAUCUAAAGUUUAUGUCUAAACUUGGCACUUAUAAGAACUGAAGAAAAAGGUUACGUAUCUCAUUUGAAGUUCUUAGUCAUUAGGUGUUUUGUUAGGCAAUUACUGUGUGUUAGCUACAAGUCUAAUAACACCACGAUAUUAACCUGUUAAGCAUUUUUUGGAAACAUGGCCAAAAUUACAUUUUGAGUUGAUUACUCAUUAUCCCCAUCACCAUCAUUUUGCUGUUAUACCUGCUAGUGGUUUACAGUGUUCUUCAAUGCGCUGAAAGUACAAGCAGUAAAAAGAUCCCAAGAGUUGAGGAUGUAGCUUAGUGGUAGAGGAUUUGCCUAGCAUGUGCAAGGUCCUGAGUUCCAUCCCCAGCACUGUAAGACAAAAACAAAAAGAAGCAAGACUCCAGUAUUUAGUAGCACUGACCAUUUCUAAACUGAUAGCUUUCAAAGUCUGGAAUACAUGGUGUGCAUCAGCUAUCUGGGGUCUUUUUAGCUUUUACCACAUUCCCCAAAGUUUGUGUUUUAUGUUAAACAUUAUAGAAUGUGUAUUCUGUUAAUUACGAUUUCCUGGGUUAUAUUCCGCACUGUAUAUAGGUACUUAGCUCGCCAUAUUUAUCUUUGUGAUAAUCUGUAUUUGUAUGGUUGGAUAGGUGGGGAAUUUUUUGCAGAAAUGCACAAAGAUUGGAUUUUACUUCCCACUGCAGGAAGUUCAAAACAAAACAGAACAUUAGCUUUCUGUAUAUUUUUCCAAUUUCCAGCAGACUGUUCUUUUUUAUUAGUUCUUUGGUUUUAGCAAAGAGUGCUUACUUAAAAGUUGCGAGGGCUCAUAUGCCUGGCUAUUGUUUUUGCUUCUCAAAUCUGCACAGGUUUACAGUCUUUGCUUUUGUUAAAAGUCUGAAUUGCUUUGCUAUUUGCUCCGUCCUCACAGAGGCAUUCAGUCUCUGUAUACUCUUAAAAGAAGGAAAAGCAAGGGAGGGUAUCUUCUUUAUUCUCAUUUUCUUUGAGUUGUUAACAAAAAUAAGUAUGAAGGACUACAACUAGAAGAUAGACAUUUAAAUGAAUUUAAAUAGACUAAUGGAAAGUUUUUACCUUUUUCUUUCUGUUUUAGAGACAGUUAAAAGACUGCUCCUUGUUCUAGGAGAUACUAGUGUAAGCUAUGGUUGCCUUGAAAUUAUCCUUUAUUUUUUUAAGGCCUAUAGAUACUAUUACCUUUAAAUUCUUUAAAGUAGGUAGGUUCAUGCCAUCAGCCUCUGAUGUAUUAUAAAUGGCAACCUACCUUCUUAUUCUGUUAAAAUUGUAUGAACACCUGUCUACUUAACAAACUUACAUGUAUGACAGUGUUGUCUACUUUGUCAUAGGCCAGUU